CACCAGGCGCGAAAACUUUACAAUGCCGGCAACGGCGAUAAGGGAACCUCGAGUGCCAGGUUACAAAUCUGGCUGUCGUGAUGCCUAAAAAGCAUUGCAUAGCAAGGGCCGGGCAAGACCGGUGCCAGCCGCCGCGGUAACACCGGCGGCUCGAGUGGUAACCGUUAUUAUUGGGUCUAAAGGGUCUGUAGCCGGCCGGAUAAGUCUCUUGGGAAAUCUGGCAGCUUAACUGUCAGGCUUUCAGGAGAUACUGUCUGGCUCGAGGCCGGGAGAGGUGAGAGGUACUUCAGGGGUAGGGGUGAAAUCUUGUAAUCCUUGAAGGACCACCAGUGGCGAAGGCGUCUCACCAGAACGGACCUGACGGCAAGGGACGAAAGCUAGGGGCACGAACCGGAUUAGAUACCCGGGUAGUCCUAGCCGUAAACGAUACUCGCUAGGUGUCGGCCACGGUGCGACCGUGGUCGGUGCCGUAGGGAAGCCGUGAAGCGAGCCACCUGGGAAGUACGGCCGCAAGGCUGAAACUUAAAGGAAUUGGCGGGGGAGCACAAGGGCGAAUCGCG
rnacentral:rRNA from 1 species